rnacentral:rRNA from 1 species
AUGGCCCGCAUAUCGGUCCAUCCAAACCUCUCCCUGCACCACCGCCCGCUCCUCCCACAGAUCGCACCGCCACCACGUUGCCCUAGAAGGUUUCCACCCGGUCCACCGCAUCAGCACACAAAGGGCAAAGCGACCGCAGCGGGAAGCCUCCAGAGCGGGACCCGAACCGGCCGCCGCGCCGCCCCGAACGCAGCCGCCGCCGCGCCGCCCCCGCCCCCGCUCCGCGACGACGGGAUGGGGCGAAAGGGGCCCAAGGGGGCCAAGACGAACGCCGCCGCCCUCACGAAGGCCGCCCUGGCCGCCAUGAGCGAGGAGACGACGGUGCGCAUCACCACGGUGCUCGAGGACUUCCGCGCCUCCGACGCCCAAGUGCACACAUUCGAACCUAGUCUUACCAAUCAAGAGCGGGCAGCAGUCCAUGCUAUGUGUAAAAAGAUGGGCAUGAUAUCAAAGAGUAAAGGGUAUGGGGAACGGCGAUGCCUUUCUGUUUACAAAACAAAAAACACGCAGGGGGCUGUUAAAGAAGAAGGCCCUAGCAAACUUGGAUUUUCCGAAGAAGCAAGACAGAUUUUGCUAGAUCUGUUUACACACUAUCCUCCUGAUGAUGCUGAAUUGAAUGGUGACGCUGUCAAGAAUCCUGGCGAUAAGGCUGCUAAAAUUCAAUGGAAGACAGAUACGGCCUUUUCCAGGCCAGCUAUGCAGAAACAUGAUAUAGCAAAGAAGGUCAAGAUGCUUACGUCUAAAUUAAAUGAUACUAGACAGUUGAGGAAGAUCGGUGAAGGCAGAUCCAAACUUCCUAUUGCAUCCUUCAAAGAUCACAUUUCUUCUACCCUAGAAAAUCACCAGGUGGUUCUUAUUUCUGGAGAAACAGGCUGCGGUAAAACUACCCAGGUUCCACAAUAUAUCUUAGAUCAUGUGUGGGGCAAGGGUGAAUCAUGUAAGAUCAUUUGUACUCAACCUCGGCGGAUAUCAGCUAUGUCAGUUGCCGAACGAAUCUCUGUUGAAAGAGGAGAGACUGUUGGUGACACAGUUGGGUACAAGAUACGCUUGGAGUCGAAGGGAGGGAAGAAUUCGUCAAUCAUGUUCUGCACAAAUGGUGUUCUCUUGAGGGUGUUGAUAGGCAGAGUAACUAACAUUUCAAAGAGGCAACGCGCGGCUGAUGAUGUAAUUAUGGGGAUAACGCACAUUAUUGUGGAUGAAAUCCAUGAAAGGGAUAGGUUUUCCGAUUUCAUGCUGGCUAUCUUGAGAGAUUUGCUGCCGAUGUAUCCUCAUCUUCAUUUGGUGCUCAUGAGUGCAACGAUUGAUGCUGAGCGGUUUUCACAAUAUUUCAACGGAUGCCCGGUUAUCCAAGUCCCAGGCCAUACCUAUCCGGUCAAAACUUUCUAUUUGGAGGAUGUGCUUUCUAUUCUGCAAUCUGUAGGUGAUAAUCAUCUUAAUCCUGAAACAAAUGGUCUGGGACUUGACAGUGUGCUAACCGAUGAUUACAAAAGCUCAAUGGAUGAAGCAAUUAGCAUAGCUUUAGUCAGUGAUGAAUUUGAUCCUCUCAUUGAGCUUAUUUCUAUAGAGCAGAACCCAGAAAUCUUCAACUACCAACAUUCAGAGACUGGUGUGACACCUUUGAUGGUUUUUGCCAGGAAGGGUCAGCUUGGGGAUGUCUGUAUGCUUCUAUCAUUUGGUGUGGAUUGUUCUGCACGGGAUCAUGAUGGAAAAUCUGCAUUAGAUUGGGCACAGCAAGAGAAUCAGGUAGAGGCUUAUGAAGUUAUUAAGAAACAUAUGGAUUGUAGUCCUGCAAAAUUACCUGAAGAAAACGAGCUGCUUAAGAAAUACUUGGCAACUAUCAACCCAGAACACAUUGAUACUGUGCUGAUAGAACGCUUGCUUAGAAAAAUAUGUACUGACUCCAAUGAAGGAGCUAUCUUAGUCUUCCUUCCUGGUUGGGAAGAUAUAAAUCAAACACGGGAGAGGUUACUUGCUUCUUCCUUUCGGGAUUCUUCAAAAUUUCUUGUACUGUCACUUCAUUCCAUGAUCCCAUCUUCAGAGCAGAAAAAGGUUUUCAAACGUGCACCGGCAGGGGUUCGUAAAAUUAUUCUCUCAACCAACAUAGCGGAGACUGCAGUAACAAUUGAUGAUGUUGUAUUUGUUAUAGAUAGUGGGAGGAUGAAAGAGAAAAGCUAUGAUCCAUACAAUAAUGUGUCUACACUUCAUACUUCUUGGGUAUCUCGAGCUAAUGCAAGACAGCGUGAAGGACGUGCCGGUCGUUGUCAGCCAGGAACUUGCUAUCAUCUUUACUCUAGAUUUCGAGCAGCCUCAUUGCCAGAAUUCCAAAUUCCUGAAAUUAAGAGGAUGCCUAUUGAAGAGCUGUGUUUGCAGGUCAAACUGCUUGAUCCAAACUCUAAAAUAGCAGACUUCUUAAAGAAGACCUUGGAUCCUCCAGUUACAGAGACUGUAAAAAAUGCUAUUACUGUGCUUCAGGAUCUUGGUGCUUUAACUCAAAAUGAACAGUUGACAGAUUUGGGUGAAAAGUUAGGUUCUCUCCCGGUCCAUCCAUCCACAAGCAAGAUGCUCCUGUUUGGUAUAUUGAUGAACUGCCUUGAUCCUGCAUUGACAUUGGCAUGCGCAGCAGACUAUAGAGAUCCUUUCUUCCUUCCUAUGGCUCCGGAUGAGAGAAAAAGGGCUGCUGCAGCCAAGGUUGAGCUUGCUUCAUUAUAUGGUGGAUAUAGUGACCAGCUUGCUGUUGUAGCAGCAUUUGAUUGUUGGACGUGUGCCAAAGUGAAUGGACAAGAAGCUUUGUUUUGUUCAAAGUACUUCGUAGCUUCAAACACCAUGAAUAUGUUGUCUAGUAUGAGGAAACAACUUCACAGUGAACUAACUCAAAGAGGAUUUCUUCCUGCUGAUACAUCUGCCUGCAGCUUGAAUGCUAAAGUUCCAGGUAUCAUUAGUGCUGUCCUUGUGGCUGGCGCUUACCCAAUGGUAGGAAGAUUGCUCCCUCCUCGCAAAAAUGCUAGAAGGGCAGUUUUGGAAACAGCAAGUGGUGCCAAAGUUCGAUUACACCCGCAUUCUUCCAACUUUAACUUGUCAUUUAAUAAAUCCUCUGGGAAUCCACUAAUGGUAUUUGAUGAAAUCACUCGAGGUGAUGGUGGAAUGUAUGUAAAGAACUGUUCAGUUGUUGGAUCAUAUCCUUUACUUCUGCUUGCUACAGAAAUAGCUGUUGCUCCACCUGAUGAUGUAAGUGAUGAGGAUGAUGAAGGUUCCAGUGGGGAUGAAGCGGGAAAAAGCACUCUGGGACAACAAAAGGAAGAGAUUAUGUCUUCUCCCGACAACACUGUUUCAGUUGUUGUUGAUCGUUGGCUUCGAUUUGAUGCUACUGCUCUGGAUGUUGCUCAAAUAUACUGCCUACGAGAACGCCUAGCAUCUGCUAUUCUUUUCAAAGUGAAACAUCCACAGGAUGUUCUCCCGCCUGCUCUUGGAGCAACGAUGUAUGCGAUUGCUUGUAUCCUAUCGUAUGAUGGCUUGCCUGGUAAUUUGGCAACAAAACAUGGUUCAGGUCAGAGCUCAACAGAUGCUAGCGGAUCAGCUGAGGGAAGGAAAGUUGGUUUUAUUCCGCCUGGCGGUUUCCUUAUGUCAUUGCUAUCGGAGGUACCGCCCAAUGCACCUCAUCAUCAGAAGUCAUCUAACCAUCCAGGGGGUGGUUCAGGGCAUAUUAGGUCAUCGAGGGCCCCCGCUGGUAGAUUUAAUCAGUCGCAGCAGCAUCCUGGCCGCAACAGCUCUGGACCAGGGAGUUCAGCAUCACAAUCUUUCAAAAGACAGCGGGACGCUGCACGGUGA